UAACUGGCUUGUGGCAGCCAAGUGUUCAUAGCGAUGUCGCUUUUCCAUCCUCGACGUUGGCUCUUCCUAUCAUUGUGAAGCAGAAUUUAUCGAGUGCUGGAAUGUUCAUCCACUUUAGUCCGUCGUGAGACAGGUU
rnacentral:ncRNA from 1 species